CUGCAGCCAAUUAAGCUGCCCUCCCCAUGGUGCCCACAGUGCAGUGGCUGCAAACAGCAGCCUCCUGGGGAGUGUGUGCAGCCUGUUGCUUGUAUAGGCUGCCCAAAGGGACCCUGGAGACAGCC
rnacentral:snoRNA from 1 species